CUCGUAGGUGGUUUGUCGCGUCGUCUGUGAAAUUCCGGGGCUUAACUCCGGGCGUGCAGGCGAUACGGGCAUAACUUGAGUGCUGUAGGGGAGACUGGAAUUCCUGGUGUAACGGUGAAAUGCGCAGAUAUCAGGAGGAACACCGAUGGCGAAGGCAGGUCUCUGGGCAGUAACUGACGCUGAGGAGCGAAAGCAUGGGUAGCGAACA
rnacentral:rRNA from 1 species